UACGCGGUGACUUUAUUUACCAGUUUGGGAUAACUGUAACUUCCUUCUUCAAAUUUGUGGACUUAAAUUCAGUUGUUGGGUCGGACCCUGCAGUUUCACGUCUGCUCACACCGCCAUUUUUUCCCCCCUGAAGUAACCGGAAACAACUCGCCUAGCCGCGCGAGACAACCCACGGCAACAAAUUUAAUUCUCUGCCAGGGUCGACAACAGUUGUUGAGCUCCAUUAGCACCGACUCUGAAUAAUCUUUCUGUUAACAUGUCUGUAAUAUACUUGAGCUUCACCCAUUGACUGUAUAAAUAAGGCUUCACCGAACUCCUGCAUCCUCUGAUUUCCGGCGCUCUGGGAACUACGUCAGCCUAUUCGCUGCGCUGAUUGGUUGUAUACCUACCCAAUUGCUGCAGAGUGAUUUGAAAGACAACCUUUUAGCCCGCCUCUCUCCCUGUCGAGAGUUCCAAGACCCUUGCGUCUUUAGACCUGGAUCGAGCGUGGCCAGGCUAACAGAGACCGUUUCUGAGCCAAAAGCAUAACAAACAUCAGGUCUGGUAGGGAGGUGGUAAAACCAAAAAGUCUAAAUCUGUAAAAGUUAUGCAUUAAUAUUUCUGAUAUGCUGAGUAUAAGUUCUAGACUUAAAAAUACAAUAUAGGAUGCUUUUGCAUAAAAAUUUUGCAUAAUUCAUGGAAUAAUUGUUUAAAAAGAAAAACAAGAAUGUUAUGGGAUUGUUGAAAUGUAAACGAGUUAUAAUUGCCCUCAUGAAGUUAGUUGACUAUAUUAUGUGAACUGAGACUAUUUGAUAUUCUGAGUGUAUUUUGUGUGUUUACAGCUAAGAAUGGUCGACCUAACUUCAGUAAGGAGGAUGUGGUGUUAUCCAGAACAUUACGUGAGUUACCACCAGAGAUAGACCAUGCAUGGAUGUUAUAAGAGUGCUGCAUGAGAAGACACACUGCUUAGAAGAACUACAGUGUUGUUGCAGCCAGUUAAUGAAGAAGCUCUAUGAUUACUCAAAGCAGCAAAAGAAGCAAACACAACAGCUGCUGCUCAUUCACGGGACACAGCUGGAAACUAAAACCUCUCUGGGUUUUUAAAAGCCAACAAGUGAACUGAUUCUGCCUCGAUGUCUGCAAAAGUUUUGUUUUUUGGUUCCUCCUCCGACCACCAGGUGGCGCCGCCUGCUUUGGAUUGAGGUUGUUUGUGAGAAAGUUGAGGUGGAUCAGCUGCAGCUGACGCUGGUUUGUUGUCUUUUCUGUUGUGGCUGUACAGUGGCUCGUGUCACUACCCGAUCGGGUAGAUACAGGAUGCAGGACACUGAAUCCAGUGUCUCAUGUGGCCCUGCAGCUUCUCCUCAGAAUCCUCAGAGGACGACUCAGAAUCACUCCCACUGGGAAGGCGUGUGAAGGAAGGUCCACCCGGCCGGUCCAGGAGCUCCGGUCCUGCAGAGCAGCGUCAGGAUGGAGACAUAAGCAGGAGGUCUUGAUCCAGCCCAAGCUCUCUAUGAAGACGAGGAUAAACUCCCCAUGGAAGAUGGGAAGAAACCUCGGGAAAGGCAAUUCAAAGAGAGAUACCCUGGAGGGAAGAAGGAAGAAGGAAGAAAAAAAAACAGCAUGAGUUCUUCUGGUCUGACAGAAAACAGCAUCAGAGCAGCAUUGAGUGGAAAAUGUUGACAGUUACUCUUGCAGACUUUCAAGAAGUCCACAAGAGUUUGUGUAGACUUGGGAAGAUGAUGGUGUAAUGUAUAUGUUCAACAUCAGGUGUAUGUUAAGUUGUGAAUGUUUCGUCAACUUCUCAAGUCUACCAGAAUCUGUGAAGACUUCAGGAAAUGGAAAUACAUCUUGAAUUUUUUUUGAGUAAGCAAGUAUGAGUGAGUGUGAAGUAAAUUUAAAUGAAGGGAAAUUUUAGCACUUUAAAAAAUGACUAAAGUUAAGUUACAUGGAUUUUCUCGUACUCAGUGAUGCAGACAAUUGAAAUGGUUGUAUUUAUAUAGCGCUUUACAUGAUGAUAUGUCACAUUUACCCAUUCACACACUGAUGGCGGGAGCUGCCAUGCAAGGUGCUAACCACAGUCCAUCAGGAGCAAUUAGGGGUUCGGUGUCUUACUCAAGGACACCUCGACAUGAGCUCAACGGGCCGAGGAUUGAACCAGCAACCUUCCAGUUACAAGACGGCCACUCAACCCACUGAGCCAUGCCGGGGCAGGUUGUACUGUCCUCUUCCAAAGAUUUUAAGAGUCUGAAAAGAUUUUGGGAGAGGACGGUAUGACGUACACUUUCUGCGUCUACGAGUACAAAUGAGUCCAUGUAAUGUAACUUUCAUCAUUUUCCAAAGUCUACCAGAGUUUGUGCAGAAUUGAGAAAAUGACAGUACGACAUAUACGUUCAACAUCAGCAUGUAUGUUAUCUUUCGAAUGUUUUGUCAACUUCCAAAGUCUAUGAGAGUCUGUGCAGACUUGGGAAGAUGAAAAUACAACUUCUACUUUCUCAAAAUGCAGUGCAAGUACAACAGGCGCGGAGUGACGUAAAUUUCGAUGAUGACGCAACUUACACCUUCCGCACUGUCGAGUCUGUAAGGUUCAAUUCAAUUCAAUUUUAUUUAUAUAGCGCAAGAGGUUACAUGAGACAUAAUUUUCAAUACACUGGGAGAUCACAAAGUGUCCAAACUCCAUGAGUCUUUGUGGACUUGAGAAUAUGAUGGUACAAUGCAUACUUUAACAACGGUGAGGUUAUCAGCGUUUUGUAAAUUUCGUCAUCUUCCAAAGUCUCCAGAGUCCACACAGACAUGGAGAGAUUGCUUUACGACAUUGGAGAGAUGCAAUUGGCUAAAUGCAGUCAUUUCGAAAUCACCAGACCCUGUGCAGACUUGAGUAGAUGGCAGGUCGACGUAUACUUUAAAACUUUAUACAAAUGAGUUUGUUUAACAUAAGUUCUUUCAUUGUUCAAAGUCUGCAUGAGUGUGCUCAGACUUAGGAAGACGAUGGUACCAUGUAUACUUCAAACAUUUGUGAGGACGUCAGGUUUUGUAAAUUUGUGAUAAACAGUUCAGAAUUUUGUACUGUGAGGUAAACUAAAACCUCAGAAACAGGAUUCUCCCAACAGCCUACCUUGGCCUCUGCCUCCUCCAGCAAAGUUACGCUGCCCUCCGGAGGGAAUCGGUCUCUCCAGAACCAGGAUCAGCCUGAAUUCUCCUCCUGCCACUUCUAUAAAGGGGCUUCCCAUUCCGAAACAUGAAACACAGUUGAGGGUGAAGUACUGAAGCUCCACAGGAGAAUGUUCCCACAACUCUGGAUAGCAUUAGUUGCAGGUCAAAUCAUGUUUUAGUCUAAUGAUUAAACUACAUUCCACAAAUA